AACGUAGGUGGCAAGCGUUAUCCGGAUUUACUGGGCGUAAAGCGUGUGCAGGCGGGUGGACAAGUGGUGUAUGAAAUCGCCAGGCUAAACCUGGCGGGGCUUAAUGCCAGGACUGUUCCGUCUGGAGUGCGAGAGAGGGGCGUGGAAUUCCGGGGUGUAGUGGUGGAAAUGCGUAGAGAUCCGGAGGAACCCCAGAGGCGAAGGCGGCGCCCUGGCUCGCAACGUGACGCUCAGACACGGACAGCAUGGGGAGCGAACGGG
rnacentral:rRNA from 1 species